CUGCACCUCUCGUUUACUCAUGGCCUCUAUAAAAGCAGCUUAACCACAACACAAAGGUACACAGCCCGUAGUACAGCAGCAGCAUAGCAAGUGAGAAGGGAGAUCAGAUCGAAGAUUCAGACAUGAGGACGCAGCGAAAUGCUCUCUCUUUGCGCGCGCUGCUCCAGAUGGUCUUCAUGCUCAUCGCUGCUUUCCAGGCCGUCUCUGUGCAAGGAGGUACUAGAGGACUUUCACCGUUUGGACUCGGAAGACCUACUGCCGCUGGAGAGGUACACGGCGAGCCUUAUACUGGACGCAGAUGUAUUCCUAUUUAUGGUUGUGACCAUCAUGGUGCAGCUCCAUGACUAAGUAUACGAAUAUAGUACUCCUGGCUACCAGCGCUCGCAUGUAUCAGAUAGAAAUAUCCUUCGACGCCUCUAAUUGCAGUGUGGUAUAUCCAAUUUAGGGACCUAUUUGUCCUAUUUAAAGGAAUGCAUAUGCUAUUUUGUUGGGGUGUGACUAUUUCUCUAUCGAAUGAGAACUAAAUUCGUUCUUAGUCA